rnacentral:RNase_P_RNA from 1 species
UGGGCUGGCCGGGCGACCGCGUUCCGCCGCACGGCAACGUGCGGUGGGCCGAGGAAGGUCCGGGCUCCACAGGGCAGGGUGAUGGUUAACGGCCAUCCGGGGCAACCCCGCGGGACAGUGCCACAGAAAACAGACCGCCUGUCAUCGCUUCGGCGAAGGCAGGUAAGGGUGAAACGGUGGGGUAAGAGCCCACCAGCGUGCCGGGCGACCGGUGCGGCUAGGUAAACCCCACCCGGAGCAAGAUCAGACAGUGUGCGUUCGAGGGCGGCCCCGCCCGAGUGCACGGGUAGAUCGCUGGAGGGAGUCGGCAACGGCUCUCGUAGAUGGAUGGUCGCCCCGCCCGGUUUCGGCCGGGCGGACAGAACCCGGCCUACAGGCCAGCCCAUUCG